GACCGCUUGGCGCAAUGGUAGCGCGUUCGACUCCAGAUUGAAAGGUUGGGCGUUCGAUCCGCUCAGUGGUCA
rnacentral:tRNA from 1 species